GACUGUCCAGGCAACACCCUAAUUACUUUUAAUGACAAAAUAUACAGUGUAUUGUGUACCAUCACCAAUAAUCAAAUGGCAUCGUUUUUAUGUGCUCAACGAGGACUAACACUUCUAUCUGUGGAAACUAGGGAGGAAAACAUCUUUAUGAAACGUAUAGCAUCAUUAAUUGAAGGUCAAGCAGACUGGUGGAUAGCUCUCAGUGACGUCAAUACCGAAGGCACGUUCGUGUGGGUUUCUGGUCAACCUUUGAAUUACACUGACUGGUAUCAAGGAACACCGACUCAACCAGAUGAUAGGGG